AUUGAACGCUGGCGGCAGGCCUAACACAUGCAAGUCGAGCGGGGUUUUCGGACCUAGCGGCGGACGGGUGAGUAAUGCGUAGGAAGCUACCCGAUAGAGGGGGAUACCAGUUGGAAACGACUGUUAAUACCGCAUAAUGUCUACGGACAAAAGUGUGGGACCUUGGGGCCACAUGCUAUCGGAUGAGCCUACGUGGGAUUAGCUAGUUGGUGAGGUAAUGGCUCACCAAGGCGACGAUCCCUAGCUGGGUUGAGAGGAUGAUCAGCCACACUGGAACUGAGACACGGUCCAGACUCCUACGGGAGGCAGCAGUGGGGAAUAUUGGACAAUGGGCGGAAGCCUGAUCCAGCCAUGCCGCGUGUGUGAAGAAGGCCUUCGGGUUGUAAAGCACUUUCAGUAGGGAGGAAGGGUUAAGUGUUAAUAGUACUUAACUUUGACGUUACCUACAGAAGAAGCACCGGCUAACUCUGUGCCAGCAGCCGCCGUAAUAC
rnacentral:rRNA from 1 species